rnacentral:rRNA from 1 species
GAUGAACGCUAGCUACAGGCUUAACACAUGCAAGUCGAGGGGAAACGAUGAGAGAGCUUGCUCUCUUAGUCGUCGACCGGCGCACGGGUGAGUAACGCGUAUCCAACCUGCCUCUGACCAAGGGAUAACCCGUCGAAAGUCGGACUAAUACCUUAUGCAGUCGUCGGAAGUCAUCUGAUGACGACGAAAGAUUUCAUCGGUGAGAGAUGGGGAUGCGUCUGAUUAGCUUGUUGGCGGGGUAACGGCCCACCAGGGCGACGAUCAGUAGGGGUUCUGAGAGGAAGGUCCCCCACAUUGGAACUGAGACACGGUCCAAACUCCUACGGGAGGCAGCAGUGAGGAAUAUUGGUCAAUGGGCGUAAGCCUGAACCAGCCAAGUAGCGUGCAGGAUGACGGCCCUAUGGGUUGUAAACUGCUUUUAUGCGGGGAUAAAGUGAGGGACGUGUCCUUCAUUGCAGGUACCGCAUGAAUAAGGACCGGCUAAUUCCGU